rnacentral:rRNA from 1 species
CGGGUGGGAUGACGGUACCCAAAGAAUAAGCACCGGCUAACUUCGUGCCAGCAGCCGCGGUAAUACGAAGGGUGCAAGCGUUACUCGGAAUUACUGGGCGUAAAGCGUGCGUAGGUGGUCUUUUAAGUCCGAUGUGAAAUCCCUGGGCUCAACCUGGGAACUGCAUUGGAUACUGGGCGACUAGAGUGUGGU